AACGAACGCUGGCGGCAUGCCUAACACAUGCAAGUCGAACGAUAACGUCGGGUGUUGGGGCGCACGGGUGCGGAACGGGAGGGAACAUUCCCGUGUGUUCGGCAUAACUCGUCGAGGGGGGUGCUAAUACCGGACAAUGUCUACGAACCCAAGAUUUAUCGUCUUAGGAUGGGCGCGCGUUGGAUUAGCUAGUUGGUAGCGUAAAAGCCUACCAAGGCUGAGCUACAUAGCUGGUCUGAGAGGAUGGUCAGCCACACUGGGAGUGAGACACGGCCCAGACUCCUACGGGAGGCAGCAGUGGGGAAUAUUGGACACUGGGCGAAAGCCUGAGCCAGCAAGGCCGCGUGAGUGAUGAAUGCCUUAGGGUUGUAAAUCUCUUUUAACCGGGAAGAUAAUGACAGUACCGGGAGAAUAAGCGCCGGCUAACUACGUG
rnacentral:rRNA from 1 species